UUUCUGGCCGAGUAUUACUUUGUGUCAGCGAAAAUUAUCAGCACUAUUAGUUGAAUUUGCACGAGGAAAAAAAAAAGGUUGGGAGCUAAAGGCACGCUGUGGCAUCCUUGAAUACGACGAACUAGUUAAGUUUGAGAGAAAAACAUAUACCUACUUUGCAGACGCCACUUUGCUGACUGGAGUGCAGGAAAUCACCGAGAAAUAAUAUGGUUUGACACAAUAUAUAGCAAAAUUAAUUAUUGAGAAAUAAUCAAAUCACUAGACUGAAGAAGCACUUAGGCCUAGGGGUAAGGAUUAAGCCCGGGAACGUGUUUUGUCUAAAUUAGCUAAUAGACGGUGUAGACGUAACGCAAUCCGUCAAACUUGGAUGACCUCAUGCCAUAGCUUGAAAACCCCAAUAACCUUACUCACCGAAACUUCCAUUUUUGAGAAUCUUAAAUUAGCGUCAGAUGUAACGAGCAAACCGUGCACUGUAGAUUGAUUACUAUUAUUAUAUCGCCAGUAAUGGUAAAAUGUGAUACCUAAUUAUAUUUUAUAAGUACAAUAAAAAUACUGUGGUUGAAGGCUAAUAAGUGAUAAUAGUGCCAAAGUUAGGCGAUUUUGAUUUUAUAUGUGGUAUAAAAUACCGCAUCGAAGCUAAAAAAUUACAGCAACAG